rnacentral:rRNA from 1 species
AAACGAAGUGAAUUGAAAUAUCUUAAUAACUUCAGGAAAAAAAAUCAAAAGAGAUUUCUUAAGUAAUGUGAAUGAAACAGAAUAAGUCUUGUUUUUGUAUUUGGUCUUUUUCUCCAUUUUUGAUUGCUCUAGCAUAUUGUUAUUUAAAAAUUUUAAUGCUUGCUUGUAAUACUAAGCAAGCUUAGGUAGUUAUCAUAAUAAAAAAAGAAAAAGACACAUGCUUGUUAAAUUAAACGAGCUGGUGUUACGUACAGAAAGGAAAAAGUAAAAUGGAGUGCAUAUCUGUUUGAAUAAAAGGGGAACCUUCCUCUAAGACUAAAUAUAAUAUAUAAGCGAUAGCGAAUAGUACCGUGAGGGAAAGGAUUGAAAUAGUAAUUUUAUAAGCAGCUCAAAAAUAGUUUAAAUAAACAAUGAGAGCGUACCUUUUGCAUAAUGGGUCAGCAAGUUAAUAUUCGAUGCGAGCAACAAUGCAAAGAUAAAACAAUUAUGAUAUAAUGAUGUAGUAUCGAAAUUAGACCCGAAGCCUAGUGAUCUUACCAUGAUCAGGGUUAUAAAAGUCCGAACGGGUUAUCGUUGUAAAGAUAUCCGAAGAAUCGUGGUAAGUUAGUGAAAGACAAUUCUGACUAGGAUAGCUGGUUUUCUGCGAAACCUAUAUAAGUAGGUAAUUUAAAUAGAAUAUCAGAAGGUACAGAAUUGUGAUCUCAUGCAACCAGUAUUUAUUUUUAUAUUAAUCCGAAAAAUAACAGCUUGUUUGUGUGCUUGUGCUUAUAUUAGGUUAUGCUACGUAAGUAUUUAUGCAUGUAUGCAUUUUUUAGGGUAAUUUAUAAUAUAAAUAUAUAUAUACUUUUUGUGGACAUUGGGGGGUCGUGAAGACUCUAUCAGUGAGUAUUUGUUCUCGGAAGGACUAGAUAUGUAGAUUGAAUAAUCAGACAUAGUACGAUAAGGUUGUAUGUCUAAAGGGAAAUAGCCCAGAACAAGAGUUAAUAAGGUUCCAAAAUUUUUGUUAAGUGAAAUUAAGGCAGUAUUUAUCCCAAUCGGCCAGGGAAUAGGCUUAGAAGCGGCCAUUUUUUGAAGACCUCGUAACAGAGCACUGGUUUUCUCUUUUAUGGAUAAAAGCACCGAAAAUUUAACGGAUCUAAACAAAAUACCGAUACCUUGUCCAUAUAUAUUAAUGUGUAUAUUAUAUAUUGUAUAUAUGGGGUAGCGGAACAUUGGGUAGCUAUUUUUAAUCCUUUAUAAGGAUUAAUUUGUUUAGAGUUUAACUUAUUAUUCUCUGGACUAAACAAGCCCAAGUGAUAAUGCUGACAUGAGUAACGAUAAAGGAUCAACCAGGACAGAUAAGAUCGCCUGGACAGAUAAUAUCACCAAGACAGAUGCUGUCACCAAGACAGAUAAUGUCAGAGAAUCCUCGCCUAAAGCUUAUGGAAUUUAUUAAAGUUACGGCCUCUAAGUUUAUUUUUUUUUCAUAACUUUCAACUAUUUAUAUGUAGAUGUUAAAUAUAUACUAGAUAUGAAUAUGUACUAUUUAUGUAAAUUACCUAGUGGUAUAGACGAUGAGAAAACCUAGAGUUUACAGUAAUUAACGUUUUUUAUUUACGUAGUAACCGAAAUUCCGCUUCUCCCCUUGAAUUAUUAUUUUAAUAAUUUAUUUUUAAAGGGAAAACGGAAGCUGUUUGCUAAUAUUUUAAGUAAAUUAAGUGAAAAAUGUUCUGGAAAACUGUAGGCUCCGUAAGUAAUAUAAAAUAAGUAAAACAAAAAUAUAUUGUAAGCUUACGCUAUAAUACCGUACCUAAAUACUAACACAAGUGAGCAAGUAGAGAAUACGAAGGCGUUCGAGCUAACAAUCAUUAAGGAACUCGGCAAAUUGACUCUCGUAACUUCGGGAUAAGGUGGACCAUUUCUUCUGAUUAAUAUCAGGCAAGAAACAGGAGGCAUAGAAUGGUGUUGUACGACUGUUUAAUUAAAACAAAGCACGCUGCGAAGAAAUAAAUUCGAAGUAUUGAGUGUGAUCUCUGCCCGAUGGCGGCUGGUUAACUAAUUUGCUUAGUUAAAUCUAAUAAGCUAGGCUUUGAUGGAAACCCCGUUCAAUGGCGGCCUUACCUAUAAGGGUCCUAAGGUAGCGUAAUACCUUGGCCGUUAAAUGCGGUCUUGCAUGAAUGAUGUAACGAUACAACAGCUGUCUCUAUGAUUGGCUCGGUGAAAUUGGAAUAACUGUGCAGAUACAGUUUACCUUUAGUUGGACGAGAAGACCCUAUGCAGCUUUACUGUUGCUAGUUACUGAAUAUGAUAUAAUGAGUUGUAGUGUAUAAGGUAAUUAAUAUAAAAUUGAAACACCUUUACUUCAUUUAUCAUAUUAUAUAAACCUUACAAGCAAAUCGCCAGUAAAGUCAAUAAAUAUGAUUGCUGGUUGUGAAAAUUGAUAGGAACAAUUGUUAGGUGGCAGUUUAUGCGGGGCACAGAUCCCAUAAAGAGUACCUGGGAGUAUCCAAAUUUGCUUAUCAAGUUUAACGGCUUAAUCUUGCUUUACUGUUUGACUUACAUGUCUUUCAGUUGCGUAAGCGGGGCAUAUGAUCACAAGAUGCAGAAAGGAAAGGUCUUGGAUUAUUGAAAAAGUUACGCUAGGGAUAACAGGCUAAUCCCGCCAGAGAGUUCAAAUUGAGUGCGGGGUUUGGCACCUCGAUGUCGGCUUAGCUCAUCCACAUGAAUGUAGGAGUCAUGAAGGGUCCGACUGUUCGUCGAUUAAAGAGCUACACGAGCUGGGUUAAAUACGUUGUAAGACAGUAUGGUUUCUAUCCUCUAAAGGAAGUUGGAAUAAAUUAAGGAUAGCCCCUUGUACGAGAGGAAUUGGGUAUAUUAACCUAUGGUUUACCUGUUGUUUGUAUUGCCAUAUUAUUGUAACUGAUAGAGAUACUGUAUCCAUUUUGUUAUAGCCCCUGAGUUUAUAACCAAGAACGCAAUAUUCUGGGUGUCAUGGCUUAUGCUGGUAAUUACUUUUCACUAAAGUAAUAUUUACUUAGGCAGUAAGAAACUGAAAUAGAUGAUAUGUCUAGUAAAAAGGCACGGCAGGAAAGCUACGUUAGUUAAUGAUAAGUGCUGAAUGCAUAUAGGCACGAAACAUACCUUAGAAUAUUCUCAUAUAUACGUAGUUUAAUACUACAAUUU